GCUCCCUGCCAGCCACCUCCCCGCGCCCCACUUCCCUUCCCGCACUGCCCCACCUUCUUCGGCGGCGACGCCCACCAGCACCUCUAACUGCGGCGUCCCACAAGCACCACCUUCUACGCCGCCCUCCUGUUUCUCCCGCGCCAUCCAGCGGGUCAUGGAGGAAUCCGGCCGCCCAUGGCUGCCAGCGCGGCCUCAGCCACCAGAUCCGGCCGCCGCCAAGCCUCAGAGUGGAAGCCCCCCACUCCAUCAGCCCGGUGCUGGAUCCGGCGAGAUCCGCACGGGGGUGCUGGGAGGUGGGUCUCUACGGGGCGGCGACCUUCUUCUCCACAAACGGCCACCACCAGCGCCAUGCUCCACCCUCUCCCUCAUCUCUCCUGACGACGGCGCCCCUCGCCCACAACCGGUGCGUCAAGCGGCGGUGCCAACUCUGCCAGGCCACGCGAGGAUUCAGCCCGGCCUGACCACAUCUCAUCAUCCUUGUCUCUGGCCAUCACCGCCCGGAUCCGCCCAACCACCGGUUCCCGUCGCGCACCUGUCCGCCGCCAGGGGCCGAGGAGGAGACCAGGCGUCCUCCAUCUCACCUCUCCGUCCGACGGCCGUCGCCAUGUAGUUCGGCGGCAUGCGUGAUGCGGUUCGGUGCUGGUGCACGCCGGCGCGACCACACCAUCCCCAGCACGGACGGCUCCCUUCAGGCGUGCGGUCGUUUGCGAGGUCCCUUACCGUGCCAUUGCAGUGCAUCUGGAUACCUCGAGCAGUGCACCACGCGCCAUCAUGCAGUUCCUCCAUAGGCACCGGCAAUUUUUUUCAGAUUUUACAGGGAUAUAGUGAAGUACAUUUACUAAUGCAGUACACUAAACUCUUUGUGUAGUUCGCUGGGCAUGAGGUUCACUAGCUCCUGCUUGCAGUUUUUUGAUAGGAAAAGGUGGUAGCUCCUGCUUGCAAUUCGCCAUGGUAGAUGGGUUGAUGCAGCCCACUUGAAGGAGUCUUGUGGUUCACUGCAUGCACAGAAGGAAAAGGCAAAAGAGUGUUGUCUUGUGAUGCAGCCCACUUGUUCCAUUUUUGUUUGUUUUUUGAAGAUGGGGUGCAGGAAGACGGUGGUUUUGUGUGUA